GUCCCGUUGGUCAAGUGGUCAAGACGUCGCCCUCUCACGGCGGAAUCAGGGGUUCGACUCCCCUACGGGAUACCA
rnacentral:tRNA from 2 species